rnacentral:lncRNA from 1 species
GUUCCUCCCACCAACAAUUGGUAUCAGAGCCCCGUUCGUCGGAAAACAGAAGAGUUUUGGGGUAUAUCCGAAUUUUCAAAGUUGUCAAAAACAAGUUUUGAUCAUUCCAUAGUGUAGAGCUCAUCAAGACGAACUCAACGCCGCAAAAAUCAGCCUCAUCGGAGUCCGGGGUAGCCCCCACGCGCCGUCUGAAUAUUCAGCCAGAUCGCCCACGCGCAUCCCACGCGCCCCGAGGUUGAAGACGACUGAGCCACACGCGCGCCAUAUUCGAGCCGUGUAAGCCGCCUAAGCCGAGUCCAGCCGAGCCACAAGCCGAGCCGUACCCCGAGCCGAGCCGAAGGAAUAUUCCUCAGAAUAUUCCACGAAUAUUCCCCAGCAUAUUCCCAAGAAUAUUCCCCCAGAAUAUUCCCCGAAUAUUCCCAGAAUAUUCCCCAGAAUAUUCCACAGAAUAUUCCCGGUUCAACCCAGCGAACCGCCCCCGUACAGAAUUGGUUUUUUGACCGGUUCACCCAUUUUU